CCUACGGGAGGCUGCAGUGAGGGAUAUUGGUCAAUGGGGGAAACCCUGAACCAGCAACGCCGCGUGAGGGAAGACGGUUUUCGGAUUGUAAACCUCUGUCCUCUGUGAAGAUAAUGACGGUAGCAGAGGAGGAAGCUCCGGCUAACUCCGUGCCAGCAGCCGCGGUAAUACGGGGGAUGCAAGCGUUAUCCGGAUUUAUUGGGUUUAAAGGGUGCGUAGGCUGUGAGGUAAGUCAGCGGUGAAAUGCCCCCGCUCAACGGGGUGAAGUGCCAUUGAUACUGCCUUGCUGGAAUGCGGAUGCCGUGGGAGGAAUGUGUGGUGUAGCGGUGAAAUGCAUAGAUAUCACACAGAACACCGAUUGCGAAGGCAUCUCACGAAUCCGCGAUUGACGCUGAUGCACGAAAGCGUGGGUAUCAAACAGGAUUAGAUACCCUUGUAGUC
rnacentral:rRNA from 1 species